AUUAGACAAUUGAAACCAUUGAAGAUGAGAAUCUCUCUCCUCCCAAAGAUCUUGUGGCUUGGGUACUUAGCUACCUCAAUUCGUCUAGGAAUAAAUGUUGAAAACUAUGAUUAAACCUCUGAAUAUGGAAAUCUAGGAAGCAAAUCUCAUAUAGAAGAGGAUAUGGUGGCACAAGUCAACUUCAUGGAUACUUCUUUGGAUGAAUUGCCUGACUCGGAGCAAAUCCCUCAAUCAUAUGAAGACCUUAACGUGAAAGCCAGAAUUGAAGAAGCUGAGAAGAUGAUCCAGAAAUGGAAUCAAGAUGGGCAACAGAUUGCUGAAAAACUAAGAUCGAAAAUGGUAGUAGAGCCUUUGAUCAUUUAGAUAGGAACUCGACCACUUUCCGAUUGGAGGCUGUAAAAUGUCCAGAUCAGUGGUUGAAGAUCAGGCAGGUUUUGAAGAGAAAGGAUCUGGAACCUCUGCAACUAGCUCUAGACAGAUUUUGUUUUGCAAACAAAGCAUGCCGAGGCAGGACGAAUAUCGGUUCAUGUUCAUCUGCAGAAGGGCUUAAUCCCUUUGUAAGAUUAAACUCUACACAAUGAAGCACACUUCAGUUUAGUUUCUUUCUUUCUGCCCUAUUGACUAUUUGUCUGCACUUUCUUUUUGGUUCCUGGGAACUGUUGGAAUUCAGAGUUUUCAUUAUAAAAUGCUGCAUAAGGCCAAAAACUUAGGAGAGGAGAAACAGCUCCUCAGGAAGAUAGAUGCAAGCCAAAGGAGGGAUGUUGAUUCAUGCAUCUCAGUAGAGAGCUUAACUAUAGAAUCAAGAUGUUGUACAACAAGAUGGAAUGGGAGAGAAACAGCUCUGAGAAAAAGCAGCUCCUUAGAAACAUCAAAGAGCUUGAAGUGGACAGGGACAAAGCUCUCUCUAAUGCUAAUUCCCAUUUGUUGGGUUCAAAAGAAGAUAUACAAAACCAUAUCAAAGUAAGAUUGAUGGGUCUGAAUAAUUCAGUUGAUCAACUAUAUUACUAUAGCCUAUGCUUUUGGUUAGGGUAUGAAUGGUUUUCUGGGCUGAUUGUUACCUAAUGUUUUGUUGAUUUUGCUCCUUCUGUAGAUUAUCAGUAAUGAUUUGGAUCAAAUAAGGAAGGAACAUCUGCCAAUCAAGGCUAAAAUUAAGCAUGUUGAGAAAGAGAUGAAUGUCAUAGAAAAGGAUGUAGGUUCUUUACAGAAGAAGUUGGUAGCUAUAAACCAAAAAAAAGAAAAAGCAUAUAGUUCUGUUCUUGAAUGGAAAAAACUACUAGGCGAGGCAGUAUGAAGACU